AGAUAAGAGAGAGUAGAGAAUGUGUGAGGAACCCUAUCCAUCAAGCCAUUGUUGGAUGUUUGCCAAUGUCGCUUUUUUUUUUUUUUUUUUUUUUU
rnacentral:ribozyme from 13 species